rnacentral:rRNA from 1 species
AACGCCAAGAACCUUACCUGGUCUUGACAUCCACGGAAGUUUUCAGAGAUGAGAAUGUGCCUUCGGGAACCGUGAGACAGGUGCUGCAUGGCUGUCGUCAGCUCGUGUUGUGAAAUGUUGGGUUAAGUCCCGCAACGAGCGCAACCCUUAUCCUUUGUUGCCAGCGGUCCGGCCGGGAACUCAAAGGAGACUGCCAGUGAUAAACUGGAGGAAGGUGGGGAUGACGUCAAGUCAUCAUGGCCCUUACGACCAGGGCUACACACGUGCUACAAUGGCGCAUACAAAGAGAAGCGACCUCGCGAGAGCAAGCGGACCUCAUAAAGUGCGUCGUAGUCCGGAUUGGAGUCUGCAACUCGACUCCAUGAAGUCGGAAUCGCUAGUAAUCGUGGAUCAGAAUGCCACGGUGAAUACGUUCCCGGGCCUUGUACACACCG